rnacentral:rRNA from 1 species
GGAAUCUUCCACAAUGGACGAAAGUCUGAUGGAGCAACGCCGCGUGAGUGAUGAAGGUUUUCGGAUCGUAAAACUCUGUUGUAAGGGAAGAACAAGUACGAGAGGUAAUGCUCGUACCUUGACGGUACCUUGCGAGAAAGCCACGGCUAACUACGUGCCAGCAGCCGCGGUAAUACGUAGGUGGCAAGCGUUGUCCGGAAUUAUUGGGCGUAAAGCGCGCGCAGGCGGCCUUUUAAGUCUGAUGUGAAAGCCCCCGGCUCAACCGGGGAGGGUCAUUGGAAACUGGAAGGCUUGAGUACAGAAGAGAAGAGUGGAAUUCCAUGUGUAGCGGUGAAAUGCGUAGAGAUGUGGAGGAACACCAGUGGCGAAGGCGACUCUUUGGUCUGUAACUGACGCUGAGGCGCGAAAGCGUGGGGAGCAAACAGGAUUAGAUACCCGAG